rnacentral:rRNA from 1 species
UGGGGAAUAUUGGACAAUGGGCGAAAGCCUGAUCCAGCCAUGCCGCGUGGAUGAUGAAGGCCCUAGGGUUGUAAAGUCCUUUCGAUGGGGAAGAUAAUGACGGUACCCAUAGAAGAAGCCCCGGUUAACUUCGUGCCAGCAGCCGCGGUAAUACGAAGGGGGCUAGCGUUGCUCGGAAUCACUGGGCGUAAAGCGCACGUAGGCGGUUUUCUAAGUCAGGGGUGAAAUCCCGGAGCUCAACUCCGGAACUGCCUUUGAUACUGGAGAACUUGAGUUCGGGAGAGGUGAGUGGAACUGCGAGUGUAGAGGUGAAAUUCGUAGAUAUUCGCAAGAACACCAGUGGCGAAGGCGGCUCACUGGCCCGAUACUGACGCUGAGGUGCGAAAGCGUGGGGAGCAAACA